ensembl:lncRNA
CUAACGUUAAACACAUUUUUCUGGUGCUUUCUAUAGGCGGGUGUUUUGUGUGCAGGUGUUGUGUGCCAAACUUGAACGUAGGAUGAGAUGUCAGUAGCAAAUAUUUUCACACAUCCACCAGCAGGCUGCUGCAUUCAUUCAUCCACAGCCACGUGGCAGUGCUUGGCAUCCACGGCAGUCUGUGAAAGCAGGAGGCUGCAGGCGAGGAAGUGGACAGGGAUCCUCUACACCAAAGACCACUUUAUUCCCUCAAUGCAAGCACAAGUGCAUUGAGAUUCACAGCUUAGCGCCAGGAGAGCCUUGUCUUGCUACGCUCAUACAACCCAAGUGGGUUAUCCAGCAAGCUCAAAGCUGUGUGUGUUAUCCUGGGAAGCGUCAGCCAUGGUGGACGUGUGCUGGAGGGCUCCCUGUUGAUGGAGACACAGGCUGCUGUUGCUGCUGUCAUCACAAAGGCCACAAUUUCAUGGCUUUGGAAUUUUCUCCCAAACCUUUCCAAACUUCACUGCGUGUGUUGACACCUCCGACUCCCUUUACAAGCACUGUGAGGAUGUGGCUCAUCAGGUGACAGCAAUUCCAUUUUUCUUACUACCUCAC